GAUGAACGCUGGCGGCGUGCCUAAUACAUGCAAGUCGAGCGAACAGAUGAGGAGCUUGCUCCUCUGACGUUAGCGGCGGACGGGUGAGUAACACGUGGAUAACCUACCUAUAAGACUGGGAUAACUACGGGAAACCGGAGCUAAUACCGGAUAAUAUAUUGAACCGCAUGGUUCAAUAGUGAAAGACGGUUUUGCUGUCACUUAUAUAUGGAUCCGCGCCGCAUUAGCUAGUUGGUAAGUUAACGGCUUACCAAGGCAACGAUGCGUAGCCGACCUGAGAGGGUGAUCGGCCACACUGGAACGGAGACACGGUCCAGACUCCUACGGGAGGCAGCAGUAGGGAAUCUUCCGCAAUGGGCGAAAGCCUGACGGAGCAACGCCGCGUGAGUGAUGAAGGUCUUCGGAUCGUAAAACUCUGUUAUUAGGGAAGAACAAAUGUGUAAGUAACUAUGCACGUCUUGACGGUACCUAAUCAGAAAGCCACGGCUAACUACGUG
rnacentral:rRNA from 1 species